rnacentral:rRNA from 1 species
CAGCAGCCGCGGUAAUACAGAGGGUGCGAGCGUUAAUCGGAUUUACUGGGCGUAAAGCGUGCGUAGGCGGCUUUUUAAGUCGGAUGUGAAAUCCCUGAGCUUAACUUAGGAAUUGCAUUCGAUACUGGGAAGCUAGAGUAUGGGAGAGGAUUGUAGAAUUCCAGGUGUAGCGGUGAAAUGCGUAGAGAUCUGGAGGAAUACCGAUGGCGAAGGCAGCCAUCUGGCCUAAUACUGACGCUGAGGUACGAAAGCAUGGGGAGCAAACAGGAUUAGAUACCCCCGUAGUCCCUGUCUCUUAUAC